rnacentral:rRNA from 1 species
CCUACGGGUGGCAGCAGUGAGGAAUAUUGGUCAAUGGGCGAAAGCCUGAACCAGCCAAGUCGCGUGCAGGAUGAAGGAUCUAUGGGUUGUAAACUGCUUUUAUGUGGGGAUAAAAUGAGGCACGUGUUCUGUUUUGUAGGUACCAUAUGAAUAAGCAUCGGCUAAUUCCGUGUCAGCAGCCGCGGUAAUACGGAGGAUGCGAGCGUUAUCCGGAUUUAUUGGGUUUAAAGGGUGCGUAGGUGGUUAAUUAAGUCAGCGGUGAAAGUUUGUGGCUCAACCAUAAAAUUGCCGUUGAAACUGGUUGACUUGAGUAUAUUUGAGGUAGGCGGAAUGCGUGGUGUAGCGGUGAAAUGCAUAGAUAUCACGCAGAACUCCGAUUGCGAAGGCAGCUUACUAAACUAUAACUGACACUGAAGCACGAAAGCGUGGGGAUCAAACAGGAUUAGAUACCCGGUAGUC